rnacentral:rRNA from 1 species
GACGAACGCUGGCGGCGUGCUUAACACAUGCAAGUCGAACGGUGAAGCGCCUUCCUUUUUGGUGGGUGUGGAUGAGUGGCGAACGGGUGAGUAACACGUGAGUAACCUGCCCCCUUCUUCUGGAUAACCGCAUGAAAGUGUGGCUAAUACGGGAUAUUCUGGGUCUGUCGCAUGAUGGGUCUGGGAAAGAUAUUGUUUCGGUGGGGGAUGGGCUCGCGGCCUAUCAGCUUGUUGGUGGGGUGAUGGCCUACCAAGGCGGUGACGGGUAGCCGGCCUGAGAGGGUGGACGGUCACACUGGGACUGAGACACGGCCCAGACUCCUACGGGAGGCAGCAGUGGGGAAUAUUGCACAAUGGGCGCAAGCCUGAUGCAGCGACGCCGCGUGGGGGAUGGAGGCCUUCGGGUUGUGAACCUCUUUCGCCAGUGAAGCAGGCCUGCCGCGUUUGUGGGUGGGUUGACGGUAGCUGGAUAAGAAGCGCCGGCUAACUACGUG